rnacentral:rRNA from 1 species
UACGAAGGGGGCUAGCGUUGCUCGGAAUCACUGGGCGGAAAGGGUGCGUAGGCGGGUCUUUAAGUCAGGGGGGAAAUCCUGGAGCUCAACUCCAGAACUGCCUUUGAUACUGAGGAUCUUGAGUUCGGGAGAGGUGAGUGGAACUGCGAGUGUAGAGGUGAAAUUCGUAGAUAUUCGCAAGAACACCAGUGGCGAAGGCGGCUCACUGGCCCGAUACUGACGCUGAGGCACGAAGGCCAGGGGAGCAAACGGG